rnacentral:rRNA from 1 species
AUUGAACGCUGGCGGCAUGCCUUACACAUGCAAGUCGAACGGCAGCACGGGAGCAAUCCUGGUGGCGAGUGGCGAACGGGUGGGUAAUAUAUCGGAACGUGCCCCGUCGUGGGGGAUAACGCAGCGAAAGCUGUGCUAAUACCGCAUACGAUCCAUGGAUGAAAGCGGGGGAUCGCAAGACCUCGCGCGAUUGGAGCGGCCGAUAUCAGAUUAGCUAGUUGGUGGGGUAAAAGCCCACCAAGGCGACGAUCUGUAGCCGGUCUGAGAGGACGACCAGCCAGACUGGAACUGAGACACGGUCCAGACUCCUACGGGAGGCAGCAUUGGGGAAUUUUGGGCAAUGGGCGCGAGCCUGAUCCAGCAAUGCCGCGUGCAGGAUGAAGGCCGUCGGGUUGUAAACUGCUUUUGUACGGAACGAAACGGCGAGCUCUAAUAAAGUUUGCUAAUGACGGUACCGUAAGAAUAAGCACCGGCUAACUAUGUGCCAGCCGCCGCAGUAA